rnacentral:lncRNA from 1 species
AAGGCCUCAUUGUAAGAUAGCCAGAGAGAAAGCCUUUGUGUGUGCAAGUGUACUAACCACAAGAUGGAGCAAGCAGUUGACAUUGGUCAAAACAAGCAUUACUUUCCCUUUUGGGUUGAGUCACAUAAUAAAAGCACGUAAGAAGAUGAAUAUCAGAAGAUCCAGAUGAAUACAAAGCCAUAUAGACAUUCAAGUCUUGAAUUGAAGAUCAAAG